GCAGGCAGCAGAGUGCACCCCCAAAUUCCUUUGCCUCAGCCUCCACAAGAUCUUAGAGGCAGGGAACUUUCUUUGCAGGGAGCUGAGGGUACCCCAGGGUCCUGCUUCCCACUCUGAUCUCCAAGGGCCAUGGUGCAUCCAGACUCCGGCGGAGUGGCUGCUCUGUUUACAGUGUGGGAGGUUUGUUCCAACUGACGCCUCUUAGCCCAGGGCUCUGGAGGGAAGGGGCGUCGGACCGUGGGAAAGUGGAAGGAGAGGAACCAAGCCCGGCUUUGGAAGGAGGACCUGGCCUCUGCUUUCGGGAGGCCCAGAGACGGAGGAGGGCUCGGCGAAGUCACACAGCACUUGCCUCUCACCAGGGGCUGUCCUGGCCUGGCUUUCUCUUGCUCGUAGUUUCCCAGCCACUUUUGAUCUGAUUUUCAAAAAUAUACAUUCUCUACUCUCCACCAUCUCUCCUGCUUUCUCCAACCAUUCUCCCCCCUAAAAAAUUAUGUAUGAACUUUGACCCCGGGAAUCCGCUUGGGGGGAGCAUUUUGGGAAAACAUGAUAGAGCCUCAUAAAGAACUCCAACAGCUUGCAAACAGCCUGUGCUAAAUUGCCCCUUCAAGUGAAAAUUAAAGCAAAUGUCUGUUUUAUGGCCAUGU